rnacentral:rRNA from 1 species
AUUGAACGCUGGCGGCAGGCCUAACACAUGCAAGUCGAACGGUAACAGGAAACAGCUUGCUGUUUCGCUGACGAGUGGCGGACGGGUGAGUAAUGUCUGGGAAACUGCCUGAUGGAGGGGGAUAACUACUGGAAACGGUAGCUAAUACCGCAUAACGUCGCAAGACCAAAGAGGGGGACCCUCGGGCCUCUUGCCAUCGGAUGUGCCCAGAUGGGAUUAGCUUGUUGGUGGGGUAACGGCUCACCAAGGCGACGAUCCCUAGCUGGUCUGAGAGGAUGACCAGCCACACUGGAACUGAGACACGGUCCAGACUCCUACGGGAGGCAGCAGUGGGGAAUAUUGCACAAUGGGCGCAAGCCUGAUGCAGCCAUGCCGUGUGUAUGAAGAAGGCCUUCGGGUUGUAAAGUACUUUCAGCGGGGAGGAAGGGAGUAAAGUUAAUACCUUUGCUCAUUGACGUUACCCGCAGAAGAAGCACCGGCUAACUCCGUG